AUUGAACGCUAGCGGGAUGCUUUACACAUGCAAGUCGAACGGCAGCGCGGACUUCGGUCUGGCGGCGAGUGGCGAACGGGUGAGUAAUGUAUCGGAACGUGCCCAGUAGCGGGGGAUAACUACGCGAAAGCGUAGCUAAUACCGCAUACGCCCUACGGGGGAAAGCAGGGGAUCGUAAGACCUUGCACUAUUGGAGCGGCCGAUAUCGGAUUAGCUAGUUGGUGAGGUAACGGCUCACCAAGGCGACGAUCCGUAGCUGGUUUGAGAGGACGACCAGCCACACCGGGACUGAGACACGGCCCAGACUCCUACGGGAGGCAGCAGUGGGGAAUUUUGGACAAUGGGGGCAACCCUGAUCCAGCCAUCCCGCGUGUGCGAUGAAGGCCUUCGGGUUGUAAAGCACUUUUGGCAGGAAAGAAACGUCGCGGGCUAAUACCCCGUGGAACUGACGGUACCUGCAGAAUAAGCACCGGCUAACUACGUG
rnacentral:rRNA from 1 species